ACGGAGGAAAGGCCUNAUUAUGGGUUAGUCAUUAGUAGUUUGUGAUUAGAAUGAAAAUUCUAGUUACUAAUUACUAAUAACCAAUUACUGUGUAAGGUCGCGAAAAGAGGAGCCCGCGUCAGAUUAGGUAGUUGGUGGGGUAAAGGCCUACCAAGCCAAUGAUCUGUAGCUGGUCUGAGAGGAUGAUCAGCCACACUGGGACUGAGACACGGCCCAGACUCCUACGGGAGGCAGCAGUGGGGAAUAUUGGACAAUGGGGGAAACCCUGAUCCAGCAAUGCCGCGUGAAUGAAGAAGGCCUUAGGGUUGUAAAGUUCUUUCACCUGUGAAGAUAAUGACGGUAGCAGGAGAAGAAGCCCCGGCUAACUCCGUG
rnacentral:rRNA from 1 species